rnacentral:rRNA from 1 species
AACGAACGCUGGCGGCAUGCCUAACGCAUGCAAGUCGAACGAGACCUUCGGGUCUAGUGGCGCACGGGUGCGUAACGCGUGGGAAUCUGCCCUUGGGUUCGGAAUAACUUCGGGAAACUGAAGCUAAUACCGGAUGAUGACGUAAGUCCAAAGAUUUAUCGCCCAAGGAUGAGCCCGCGUAGGAUUAGCUAGUUGGUGAGGUAAAGGCUCACCAAGGCGACGAUCCUUAGCUGGUCUGAGAGGAUGAUCAGCCACACUGGGACUGAGACACGGCCCAGACUCCUACGGGAGGCAGCAGUGGGGAAUAUUGGACAAUGGGCGAAAGCCUGAUCCAGCAAUGCCGCGUGAGUGAUGAAGGCCUUAGGGUUGUAAAGCUCUUUACCCGGGAUGAUAAUGACAGUACCGGGAGAAUAAGCUCCGGCUAACUCCGUGCCAGCAGCCGCGGUAAUGUGACUACUG